rnacentral:rRNA from 1 species
GACGAACGCUGGCGGCGUGCCUAAUACAUGCAAGUAGAACGCACAGUUUAUACCGUAGCUUGCUACACCAUAAACUGUGAGUUGCGAACGGGUGAGUAACGCGUAGGUAACCUGCCUGGUAGCGGGGGAUAACUAUUGGAAACGAUAGCUAAUACCGCAUAAUAUUAAUUAUUGCAUGAUAAUUGAUUGAAAGAUGCAAUUGCAUCACUACCAGAUGGACCUGCGUUGUAUUAGCUAGUAGGUGAGGUAACGGCUCACCUAGGCGACGAUACAUAGCCGACCUGAGAGGGUGAUCGGCCACACUGGGACUGAGACACGGCCCAGACUCCUACGGGAGGCAGCAGUAGGGAAUCUUCGGCAAUGGACGAAAGUCUGACCGAGCAACGCCGCGUGAGUGAAGAAGGUUUUCGGAUCGUAAAGCUCUGUUGUAAGAGAAGAACGGGGGUGAGAGUGGAAAGUUCACACUGUGACGGUAUCUUACCAGAAAGGGACGGCUAACUACGUG